rnacentral:rRNA from 1 species
UACGGAGGGUGCAAGCGUUAUCCGGAUUCACUGGGUUUAAAGGGUGCGUAGGCGGGCAGGUAAGUCAGUGGUGAAAUCCUAGAGCUUAACUCUAGAACUGCCAUUGGUACUAUCUGUCUUGAAUAUUGUGGAGGUAAGCGGAAUAUGUCAUGUAGCGGUGAAAUGCUUAGAUAUGACAUAGAACACCUAUUGCGAAGGCAGCUUACUACGCAUAUAUUGACGCUGAGGCACGAAAGCGUGGGGAUCAAACAGG